GAGUUUGAUCCUGGCUCAGAACGUACGCUGGCGGCACGCCUAACACAUGCAAGUCGAACGAAGUAGCAAUACUUAGUGGCAGACGGGUGAGUAACAUGUAGGUAUCUACCCUUUGGCCUGGAAUAACACGAGGAAACUUGUGCUAAUACCGGAUAAGUCUUUACGGAGAAAGCUUUAUGCACCAUUGGAUGAGCCUGCACUUGAUUAGUUUGUUGGUGGGGUAAUGGCCUACCAAGACUGUGAUCAAUAGCUGAUUUGAGAGGAUGAUCAGCCACAUUGGGACUGAGACACGGCCCAAACCCCUACGGGAGGCAGCAGUGGGGAAUCUUGCACAAUGGAGGAAACUCUGAUGCAGCGAUGCCGCGUGAGUGAAGAAGGCCCUGGGGUUGUAAAGCUCUUUCGUCGGGGAAGAAAAUGACUGUACCCGAAUAAGAAGGUCCGGCUAACUUCGUGCCAGCAGCCGCGGUAAUACGAAGGGACCUAGCGUAGUUCGGAAUUACUGGGCUUAAAGAGUUCGUAGGUGGUUGAAAAAGUUGGUGGUGAAAUCCCAGAGCUUAACUCUGGAACUGCCAUCAAAACUUUUCAGCUAGAGUAUGAUAGAGGAAAGCAGAAUUUCUAGUGUAGAGGUGAAAUUCGUAGAUAUUAGAAAGAAUACCAAUUGCGAAGGCAGCUUUCUGGAUCAUUACUGACACUGAGGAACGAAAGCAUGGGUAGCGAAGAGGAUUAGAUACCCUCGUAGUCCAUGCCGUAAACGAUGUGUGUUAGACGUUGGAAAUUUAUUUUCAGUGUCGCAGCAAAAGCGAUAAACACACCGCCUGGGGAGUACGACCGCAAGGUUAAAACUCAAAUGAAUUGACGGGGACCCGCACAAGUAGUGGAGCAUGUGGUUUAAUUCGAAGAUACGCGCAGAACCUUACCAACACUUGACAUGUUCGUCGCGACUCUAAGAGAUUAGAGUUUUCGGUUCGGCCGGACGAAACACAGGUGCUGCAUGGCUGUCGUCAGCUCGUGUCGUGAGAUGUUGGGUUAAGUCCCGCAACGAGCGCAACCCUCACUUUUAGUUGCCAUUAUUAAGUUGGGCACUCUGAAAGAACUGCCAGUGAUAAGCUGGAGGAAGGUGGGGAUGACGUCAAGUCCUCAUGGCCCUUACGUGUUGGGCUACACACGUGCUACAAUGGUAUCUACAACAGGAAGCAAAACGGCGACGUUAAGCAAAUCCCUAAAAGAUACCUCAGUUCGGAUUGCACUCUACAACUCGAGUGCAUGAAGCUGGAAUUACUAGUAAUCGUGGAUCAGCGUGCCACGGUGAAUGCGUUCCCGGGUCUUGCACUCACCGCCCGUC
rnacentral:rRNA from 1 species